AUUGAACGCUGGCGGCAGGCUUAACACAUGCAAGUCGAGCGGGGUGAUGGUGCUUGCACUAUCACUUAGCGGCGGACGGGUGAGUAAUGCUUAGGAAUCUGCCUAUUAGUGGGGGACAACAUCUCGAAAGGGAUGCUAAUACCGCAUACGUCAUACGGGAGGAAGUAGGGGAUCACUUGUGACCUUGCGCUAAUAGAUGAGCCUAAGUCGGAUUAGCUAGUUGGUGGGGCAAAGGCCUACCAAGGCGACGAUCUGUAGCGGGUCUGAGAGGAUGAUCCGCCACACUGGGACUGAGACACGGCCCAGACUCCUACGGGAGGCAGCAGUGGGGAAUAUUGGACAAUGGGGGAAACCCUGAUCCAGCAAUGCCGCGUGUGUGAAGAAGGCCUUCGGGUUGUAAAGCACUUUCGGCGGGGAAGAAAAAAUCAAGACUAAUAAGCUUGAGAAUUGACGUUACCCGCAGAAGAAGCACUGGCUAACUCUGUGCCAGCCGCCGCGGUAA
rnacentral:rRNA from 1 species